rnacentral:tRNA from 1 species
GGGCCCAUAGCUCAGGUUGGUUAGAGCGCAUCCCUGAUAAGGAUGAGGUCCCUGGUUCAAGUCCAGGUGGGCCCA